rnacentral:tRNA from 1 species
UACAAUGUGGCUCAGUGGUAGAUCACUUGGCUAGCAUGCACCAGGCCCUGGGUUCGAUCCCUAGUAUUGUAG